GAUGAACGCUAGCGGCAGGCUUAACACAUGCAAGUCGAGGGGUAACAGGGUAGCAAUAUCGCUGACGACCGGCGCACGGGUGAGUAACGCGUAUGCAAUCUGCCUUUAACUGGGGAAUAGCUCCGAGAAAUCGGGAUUAAUACUCCAUAAUAUUCUGAGGAGACAUCUCCUUGGUCUUAAAGCUCCGGCGGUUAAAGAUGAGCAUGCGUACCAUUAGCUAGUUGGUAGGGUAACGGCCUACCAAGGCUACGAUGGUUAGGGGGUCUGAGAGGAUGAUCCCCCACACUGGUACUGAGACACGUACCAGACUCCUACGGGAGGCAGCAGUGAGGAAUAUUGGUCAAUGGGUGCAAACCUGAACCAGCCAUGCCGCGUGAAGGAUGAAGGUCCUAUGGAUUGUAAACUUCUUUUAUACGGGAAAAAACCUCCCUACGUGUAGGGAGCUGAUGGUACUGUAAGAAUAAGGAUCGGCUAACUCCGUGCCAGCCGCCGCCGUAACAC
rnacentral:rRNA from 1 species